GAUGAACGCUGGCGGCGUGCCUAAUACAUGCAAGUCGAGCGAACAGACGAGGAGCUUGCUCCUCUGACGUUAGCGGCGGACGGGUGAGUAACACGUGGAUAACCUACCUAUAAGACUGGGAUAACUUCGGGAAACCGGAGCUAAUACCGGAUAAUAUAUUGAACCGCAUGGUUCAAUAGUGAAAGACGGUUUUGCUGUCACUUAUAGAUGGAUCCGCGCCGCAUUAGCUAGUUGGUAAGGUAACAGCUUACCAAGGCAACGAUGCGUAGCCGACCUGAGAGGGUGAUCGGCCACACUGGAACUGAGACACGGUCCAGACUCCUACGGGAGGCAGCAGUAGGGAAUCUUCCGCAAUGGGCGAGAGCCUGACGGAGCAACGCCGCGUGAGUGAUGAAGGUCUUCGGAUCGUAAAACUCUGUUAUUAGGGAAGAACAAAUGUGUAAGUAACUAUGCACGUCUUGACGGUACCUAAUCAGAAAGCCACGGCUAACUACGUG
rnacentral:rRNA from 1 species